AUAUAAUACUAUACACCCGUUAUGAUAAGAUAAUAUACACAUAUAUAAACCAUUGUAUUUCGCCCAGGGAACAGUGUUGAUUCUAACCUCAGAACCCGCCGGAUCUUUCACCAGUGUCAUUGUAAUUUGUGUAUCGCAAUUUGUGUAAAACGAAAUAAAAGGAGUAGUAAGUUGAGCUACGGCUCAACUACCUUUCUUUUUUAUUAUCUCUAAUCACAGUUUUACGUGACAAAAUCGUCGAGGAGAGUCGCGCGAGCCGCGGAACGUUUUCUUCUGUUCCGUAAAUUGCCUGUUUGGAGAGACACUCGCGUGGGCGCGCUGCGAUCGAUUCCAAACCCGGUGGAAACUUGCGAGUGACGGUUUUUAAUAAACAGAAGAAGGUUCUCGCGCGAUUCUGGAGGAGGUGUUGCCCGGAUUUUCGUCCGACGAUUUAAUGAAAAACCGCGCAUCGUUCGUGGACAAAAACCGUUCAUUUCGUGGCUUUCUGUUCGACCUAAGGAGCCUUCGUGUUUUCCAUCUUCGUGUCGCUCGACUUCUCGGUGAAGAAGUACUUUUUUUGUGACAAAUAUCUUAACCUUUCGGCGCAAUAUUUUCAUUGGAAAUUGUGCUCGUUAAAUGGCCAGGCUCGGAGCAGUUAGCCAGCGAUUUCGGUGGAAAAGUGGAGCAGCUUAAAAACUGAAAAGGGAUGAAGACGCGGAGAUGAAGCCUCGAGCCGUAAGCAAGGAGGCAGUAAUAACAGUGGGUAACGGGAGCCGUGCUUCUUGUCCCGUGAAAGACGCUCCUCCUCCUCGACGUGGAGCAUAACGAGACGCUUUUUCCCGUCGACGCGCUGCGCGACGGCACGAGGAGGGGAGGGGAGCGGAGGGGAGGGCCCCUACGUCGACGCUUCUUCGACGAUCUUGGGCUGCUAUUACCGUCGUGGGAGGAUCUCGAUGCGAAGACAAAGGACUCUCGGUGACACUGGUUGCCAAGCGAAGGAUCCUCGGCGUUAGUCAGACAUCGAGUCCUGUCCCUCGGUAUAAAAUGAUACGGAACGGACCGGAAACGGUGUCACGUUACAAGUGGCCUGCUCUCGUAUUCCCGGAUCGUCGGACCUCCUUCUCGAUAUUUUCUUAAUAAUUCGACUGCGGAUUUUAUGCAUCUUAUACACAAGGCAAAAAAAUGAGCAGCCGAGGCACAAAACAC